UACGGAGGGUGCAAGCGUUAUCCGGAUUCACUGGGCUUAAAGGGUGCGUAGGUGGCGCGUUAAGUCCGUUGUGAAAUCCCUGGGCUCAACCCAGGAAUUGCUUCGGAUACUGGCGUGCUUGAGGCUAGUAGGGGUCACUGGAACUGACGGUGGAGCGGUGAAAUGCGUAGAUAUCGUCAGGAACGCCGAUGGUGAAGACAGGUGACUGGGCUAGUUCUGACACUGAGGCACGAAAGCGUGGGGAGCGAACGGG
rnacentral:rRNA from 1 species